rnacentral:lncRNA from 1 species
AAUAUGUAUGGAUUGCUGCAUGAUUCUUAACAACGAAUAAAGCUGUUUACAAGGGAAGGAGAGCUGUUAACUGUGCAGCUGGCUUGUGAAAGUUUCUGUCCAACUUCCUCCAGCACUUUUUAAUGUUUUCACUCAGGAGAAGCUGGGGUGGGGGGGCGGCAAGGAGGAGGGAAAGACGUUUUGGGGUGGGAGUUGAGGUACCAUUCCCUGGGCACAGCUCCUGCUCAGAGGGCGGAUAAGGAGCCCCCACCCCGCCCCCACCCCGUCUUUAAACCCGAGAACUUCCAACACUGCAGCUUGUCAAUAAUUGAAGAGCAGGAAAGCUGGUGACUGGAGGGAGGCUUGGGGAAGGGGAAGGGGGGGGAGGGCCACAGUCCUCUGUUAGUCCCUGUCACAUAAAGGCGGGUAAAAUUAACGGGGCAAAGGAUCUCGGUAGGAGAGUUAGGCAAGUUCAUGACUUUUCUGAGUUUCACCCGCCACCUCUGAUUCCUGGGCUAUCUGGAAAGGAGGGGGAGCAUUUCCGAAGAAGCCUCUGGAACGUCAGCUUCCAGGCAUCUUGCUGAGAACAGGGCAGAGAGUGGGGGCUUACCGGGAAACACUGGAUUACCCUACCCGCACUGGGGUGACUGCGACCGGUGCUGGGGUUCUGCAGACCUGAGCAGCAGGUGGCAUCGGAGAGUCAGACCUGCCUGCGGGCACCAAGAAGACGCUCAGUGUCAGGAGUGAGUGACGGGCCGCAGAAACGCGAGGAAGUGCCACUCGCAGCCCAGAGGAGAGGAAAACCCCAAGCACAUGGUUCCCGAGCCUGAGCCGGCUCCCAGCUUUUGCCCCAGAGCCCGGGGCUGCUUCCCAGGAGCCGUCGUCGACACCUCGGAGCUGCUCAGACCACACCACAUUCGACUCGGAGGAGGCGACCCCCGGGGUCGUGGGAUGGAAGCGCGCUUCCGGGAGCCUGUGUAACUGGAGCCGCGGGAGUCAGCGGGCCGGAGAGCGCCACCCUCGGCUCAGCUCGUGGAUGUUGACCGCCCCCUCAGAGAGUCCCCGCAGAUAUGGCGGAGAGCUGGCUACGCCUCUCGGGAGCAGGGGCUGCGGAGGAAGCCGGGCCGGAGGGCGGCCUAGAGGAGCCCGAUGCCCUGGAUGACAGCCUGACCAG